rnacentral:rRNA from 1 species
AUUGAACGCUGGCGGCAGGCCUAACACAUGCAAGUCGAGCGGAUGAAGGGAGCUUGCUCCUGGAUUCAGCGGCGGACGGGUGAGUAAUGCCUAGGAAUCUGCCUGGUAGUGGGGGAUAACGUCCCGAAACGGGCGCUAAUACCGCAUACGUCCUGAGUGAUAAAGAGGGGGAUCUUCGGACCUCACGCUAUCAGAUGAGCCUAGGUCGGAUUAGCUAGUUGGUGGGGUAAAGGCCUACCAAGGCGACGAUCCGUAACUGGUCUGAGAGGAUGAUCAGUCACACUGGAACUGGGACACGGUCCAGACUCCUACGGGAGGCAGCAGUGGGGAAUAUUGGACAAUGGGCGAAAGCCUGAUCCAGCCAUGCCGCGUGUGUGAAGAAGGUCUUCGGAUUGUAAAGCACUUUAAGUUGGGAGGAAGGGCAGUAAGUUAAUACCUUGCUGUUUUGACGUUACCAACAGAAUAAGCACCGGCUAACUUCGUG